rnacentral:rRNA from 1 species
UAGACUGCGGACGGCUCAGUAUAUCAGUUAUAAUCUACUCGAUUGUAAAGGUUAUUGGAUAACCGUGGGAAAUCUAGAGCUAAUACAUGCAAAAAAUUAGUUGGUGUUUUGUUUUAGGACUUGACAUCAAAUGCAUUUAUUAGAGAAUACCAACCAUAUGAGAGUAAGAUCUUGUAUGUGGUGAAUCUAGAUAACUGUGCAGAUCGUAUGGCCUCGAGCCGACGACAUUUCGAUUGAGUUUCUGCCCUAUCACCUUGAUGCUAGUGUUUUGUACUAGCAUGGGAAUGACGGGUAACGGAGGAUCAGGGUUCGAUCCCGGAGAGGGAGCCUGAGAAACGGCUACCACAUCCAAGGAAGGCAGCAGGCGCGAAAAUUACCCAAUCCAGACACUGGGAGGUGGUAACGAGAAGUACCGAAUGACGAUCUAAUGGUUGUCAGUUUGGAAUGGAAUCAAUUUAAGCAAUUGAAUUGAGUAACAACUGGAGGGCAAGUCUGGUGCCAGCAGCCGCGGUAAUUCCAGCUCCAGUAGCGUAUCUCAAAGUUGCUGCGCUUAAAACGCUCGUAGUUGGAUCACUAACUGUGUGUUGGGUGAUAUUGAUACUGUUGACCGUUAACUGUGUCUCAAUACAUCAUGUCCUCAUGGUGUAGUUGGGCAGAGUAGGCCUAGUACUUAAUACUAACCAACACAUGGUAAUUGCACGUGAGGAUGGCCAUUGACCUUAAUUGAGUUGAAGGUCGUGUCUCACGGGGUGUGCCUUGAGUAAAUCAGCGUGCUCAAAGCAGGCUUUUUGCCUGAAUGUUGAUAGCAUGGAACGAACAAUCGUGUAUGGUGUGUGCUGAUCACAGUUAUAGUGUCUAACACUCUUAACUGCAGCACACGACACCGACCGCCAAUAUCGGAUGUUGGUUCCGUAUUGGGGUACCGAUUAAGAGGAGCGGUUGGGGGCAUUGGUAUUUGGCAGCGAGAGGUGAAAUUCUUAGACCUGCCAAGGACUAACAAAUGCGAAGGCAUCUGUCCAGACCGUAUCCAUUAAUCAAGAACGAUAGUGAGAGGUUCGAAGACGAUCAGAUACCGUCCUAGUUCUCACUGUAAACUAUGCCGACCCGGGAUCAGUUUGAGAGUUGUUCAAUGCUCGGGAUUGGUCCCCCUGGGAAACCUUAAGUUUUUCGGUUGCGGGGGGAGUAUGGUCGCAAGGCUGAAACUUAAAGGAAUUGACGGAAGGGCACCACCAGGGGUGGAGCCUGCGGCUUAAUUUGACUCAACACGGGAAAACUUACCUGGUCAAGACAUCAAUAGGAUAUUCAGACUGAUAGAUCUUAGUUGAUCUGGUGAUGAGUGGUGCAUGGCCGUUCUUAGUUCGUGGAGCGAUCUGUCAGGUUUAUUCCGGUAACGGACGAGAUCACGAUCUUCACUUGACGAGCUGAAGCAAGCUGCAGAUCACCUAAUUUUGGCAACAAGAUUAUGUAGGUUAUGUAGCGUAGGCAACGUACUUGAAAUGCGUAUAGCGAUUGUCGAGUCGGCAACGGCCUGAUGGUUAAUGUGCGCACGUAGAGUGCGUUCCCUUCAGUCAAACAGCACGUGACUUUGYUGUGUGCUGUAUCGUGAAGAGACAACGGAAUAUAUUACAAAAUCCGAGGAAGAGUGGCUAUAACAGGUCUGUGAUGCCCUUAGAUGUUCAGGGCUGCACGCGCGCUACAAUGGUAACACCUGUGAGACUGCGGACGGCUCAGUAAAUCAGUUAUAAUCUACUCGAUUGUAAAGGUUAUUGGAUAACCGUGGGAAAUCUAGAGCUAAUACAUGCAAAAAAUUAGUUGGUGUUUUGUUUUAGGACUUGACAUCAAAUGCAUUUAUUAGAGAAUACCAACCAUAUGAGAGUAAGAUCUUGUAUGUGGUGAAUCUAGAUAACUGUGCAGAUCGUAUGGCCUCGAGCCGACGACAUUUCGAUUGAGUUUCUGCCCUAUCACCUUGAUGCUAGUGUUUUGUACUAGCAUGGGAAUGACGGGUAACGGAGGAUCAGGGUUCGAUCCCGGAGA